rnacentral:tRNA from 1 species
GGAGCCAUAAUUCAACGGUAGAAUAACCGUCUCAUAAGCGGUCAGUUCCGGGUUCGAAUCCCGGUGGCUCCA